rnacentral:rRNA from 1 species
AUACGUAGGGAGCGAGUGUUGUCCGGAAUUACUAGGCGUAAAGGGUGCGUAGGCGGCAAUGCAAGUCAGAUGUGAAAUCCCCGGGCUUAACUCGGGGGGUGCAUUUGAAACUGCAUUGCUUGAGUGCAGGAGAGGAAAGCGGAAUUCCUAGUGUAGCGGUGAAAUGCGUAGAUAUUAGGAAGAACACCAGUGGCGAAGGCGGCUUUCUGGACUGUAACUGACGCUGAGGCACGAAAGCGUGGGGAGCAAACAGGAUUAGAUACCCUGGUAGUCCACGCUGUAAACGAUGGAUACUAGGUGUGGGGGACAUACAACCUCUGUGCCGGAGCAAACGCAAUAAGUAUCCCGCCUGGGGAGUACGGCCGCAAGGCUGAA